CCUACGGGAGGCAGCAGUGGGGAAUAUUGGGCAAUGGAGGCAACUCUGACCCAGCAAUGCCGCGUGAGUGAUGAAGGUAAUUUUAUUGUAAAGCUCUUUUCUUUGGAACGAAUAAAUGACGGUACCAAAGGAAUAAGCCCCGGCUAACUACGUGCCAGCAGCCGCGGUAAUACCUAGGGGGCCAGCGUUGUUCGGAAUGAAUGGGCGAAAAGGGUGGGUAGGGGGUUUGAUAAGUUAGAUGUGUAAUAUCCAGGGCUUAACUCGGGUGUUGCAUCUAAUACUGUUAGACUUGAGUACUGGAGAGGUUAGUGGAAUUCCUGGUGUAGCGGUGGAAUGCGUAGAGAUUAGGAGGAACAGCAGUGGCGAAGGCGACUAUCUGGACAGCAACUGACACUGAGGCACGAAAGCGUGGGGAGCAAACAGGAGUAGAUACCCUUGUAGUC
rnacentral:rRNA from 1 species